UAGAAGCAGCCAUCAUUAAAGAGUGCGUAAUAGCUCACUAGUCGGUGACACUGCGCCGAAAAUGUACCGGGGCUAAACAUAUUACCGAAGCUGUGGAUUGUCCUUUGGACAAUGGUAGGAGAGCGUUCUAAGGGCGUUGAAGCAUGAUCGCAAGGACAUGUGGAGCGCUUAGAAGUGAGAAUGCCGGUGUGAGUAGCGAAAGACGGGUGAGAAUCCCGUCCACCGAUUGACUAAGGUUUCCAGAGGAAGGCUCGUCCGCUCUGGGUUAGUCGGGUCCUAAGCUGAGGCCGACAGGCGUAGGCGAUGGAUAACAGGUUGAUAUUCCUGUACCACCAUUAUUCGUUUUAAGCGAUGGGGGGACGCAGUAGGAUAGGCGAAGCGUGCUGUUGGAGUGCACGUCCAAGCAGUGAGAUUGAGUGUUAGGCAAAUCCGGCACUCUUAAGAUUGAGCUGUGAUGGGGAGAGGAACUUGUUCCUCGAGUCGUUGAUUUCACACUGCCGAGAAAAGCCUCUAGCUAGAAUAACGGUGCCCGUACCGCAAACCGACACAGGUAGUCAAGAUGAGAAUUCUAAGGUGAGCGAGCGAACUCUCGUUAAGGAACUCGGCAAAAUGACCCCGUAACUUCGGGAGAAGGGGUGCUCUUUGAGGUUCACGCUUCGAAGAGCCGCAGUGAAUAGGCCCAAGCGACUGUUUAUCAAAAAACACAGGUCUCUGCUAAACCGUAAGGUGACGUAUAGGGGCUGACGCCUGCCCGGUGCUGGAAGGUUAAGAGGAGUGGUUAGCGCAAGCGAAGCUACGAAUCGAAGCCCCAGUAAACGGCGGCCGUAACUAUAACGGUCCUAAGGUAGCGAAAUUCCUUGUCGGGUAAGUUCCGACCCGCACGAAAGGCGUAACGAUUUGGGCACUGUCUCAACGAGAGACUCGGUGAAAUCAUAGUACCGGUGAAGAUGCCGGUUACCCGCGACAGGACGGAAAGACCCCGUGGAGCUUUACUGUAGCCUGAUAUUGAAAUUCGGUACAGUUUGUACAGGAUAGGUAGGAGCCUUAGAAGCGUGAGCGCUAGCUUACGUGGAGGCAUUGGUGGGAUACUACCCUAAUUGUAUUGGAUUUCUAACCCGCAGCACUUAUCGUGCUGGGAGACAGUGUCAGGCGGGCAGUUUGACUGGGGCGGUCGCCUCCUAAAGAGUAACGGAGGCGCUCAAAGGUUCCCUCAGAAUGGUUGGAAAUCAUUCAUAGAGUGUAAAGGCAUAAGGGAGCUUGACUGCGAGACCUACAAGUCGAGCAGGGUCGAAAGACGGACUUAGUGAUCCGGUGGUUCCGCAUGGAAGGGCCAUCGCUCAACGGAUAAAAGCUACCCCGGGGAUAACAGGCUUAUCUCCCCCAAGAGUUCACAUCGACGGGGAGGUUUGGCACCUCGAUGUCGGCUCAUCGCAUCCUGGGGCUGUAGUCGGUCCCAAGGGUUGGGCUGUUCGCCCAUUAAAGCGGUACGCGAGCUGGGUUCAGAACGUCGUGAGACAGUUCGGUCCCUAUCCGUCGUGGGCGUAGGAAAUUUGAGAGGAGCUGUCCUUAGUACGAGAGGACCGGGAUGGACAUACCUCUGGUGUACCAGUUGUCGUGCCAACGGCAUAGCUGGGUAGCUAUGUAUGGACGGGAUAAGUGCUGAAAGCAUCUAAGCAUGAAGCCCCCCUCGAGAUGAGAUUUCCCAACUUCGGUUAUAAGAUCCCUCAAAGAUGAUGAGGUGAAUAGGUUCGAGGUGGAAGCGUAGCGAUACGUGGAGCUGACGAAUACUAAUCGAUCGAAGACUUAAUCAAUAU
rnacentral:rRNA from 1 species